UUACCACCCUUUGCUCUAUCAUGUUACUUCCGUUUCGUAUUUCGAUAGUUUCUUUAUACAUUAUUAAUUUUUCUUAUUUACUUUAUCUUCAUAUACUAUGCUUUUCUUCAGUCUCUUUAAUAAACUACAAUCUUCAGUUUCUGUUUUUAUUACUUUUUAUCAUAUUGUGCGCAAUAUAUGCAGCACUAAGUAGUACAGUUAAAUGAAAUUUGCCUCUUCAAAUGACCAUUAUUAUCCCCCCCAGUUUUUUAAAUUAACUUCAUGGAAUGAGCCUCUAGCUCCUCUUUCACAAUUUAUAUUAUUACAUACACAAUUAAUAUUAUUAAAAAAAUUUUACAAGUUUUUAACAUCGAUAAAUUCUCUUAGAUAAUAACAAGCUCGAUAACAAAAUAGAAGCUGUACAUGCAAACUGUACAAAUUGCAAAUCGUCUCAUUAUGCUACCAGAUGCAAAAUUGUAAAAUUAUAGAAAAGAACUCUAUAACCUAUAACUUGCGACUUGUCGAUUCAUUAAUACUAUUAGUCGAUAAAUUGUUGUACAAGAGAACCUUGGUGUGUUACAUAUAUAAAAGAAACAAAUAUGUCAGAUACCUAUAUCACACUUAAUGAAGAAUAGAUUUAGGAUUUCCUAAACAUAUAUAUACCUCGAUAACUAACCUGAUAAGUUAACAAAAUACAUACAUAAAACUAUAUUUUGUCAUCAUUCUUUCCUUGUUACGUUUCUUUUAACGUGUUUUUAUAUUAUUUACUUAUUUUCUCUACUUCUGUAAUGUUUUCGUGGCAACGAUCUGUCUUUUUCUAUUCUUACUGCCUUCGUUCGCCUUCUCGCUUCGCACCCUGUUCCUAGUCCACGAAUCCUGUCUCGAUUCGCACAUGCGCACAACGCGAAACCGCCGUCGCGAAUAAGCCCGCGUCUGCGUUCUUCUAAUGUUGUCUGCCUUUCUGUUCCUUUCUCUAUUCUUCCACCCCAUUCGGUCGAAAUCGUCCGUUGAAGUUAGCGUGAUCCGAAAGAAAUUAUCCGUUCGUCCCACCCUUCUAUACUUAAUAGAAACACGGUGUGUCCGUCUGUCGACGUCAGCCGGUGGACAGCGACAUACAUUUCCAUCCUUCUACCACCCUAUCACUAUUAUUGCGGGGAACGUGACCGCGUGGGGAUAAAUUAUGUAUCUCUAAACAAAAUGAUUGCUUCAACCCCUGACUGUUAUCUAAGAGCAAAAAAAACCAAAUUAAUAAAUAUAAAUAAGAAUGAAAUUUCUUCCGAAAUAAAGUUAAUACCUUAGACAAACCAUGUUAUUUUAGUAUAUAUUUUCUUAUUACGUAAUCUAGAAUUUAAUAGUAAAGCUUAGAAUAAAUUGUUAAAACAAAAAAAGUGAUAUGUAAUUAUGAAUAGAAGUUACGUUUAUUUCAAAAUAGAAUUAUUACUUUGUAUAGCUUUCAAUAUUGUAACAUAUUCUUAUUAUAUUUACUCAAUAAUUUUUUAUACGGUGAAGAGAUGGCGCUGGCAAUCGUAAUCAAAAAGUAUAUCGGUGUACCGAUAGAAAUGAUUAUUUAAUGCGACAGAAAUGCGUAACAUACGUUCUUACUGUUCUCGUGCCAUAUGUUACCUCCACACACAUGCAAUAGUUAUCCACAUGCAAUUACGUUUAUGUAAAUUCGAACUUAUAAUUAGAUUCGUAAAUUCAUGAUUAAAGCGAUUAUAUAACGUUACUUAUUAACGACCAAUACUACAAUCGCACUGUAUGACGGGGACACUUGUUUCGAGAAACAAAUUGUGUUUGACAGAGGUCUGAGGGUAUUUGCCAAUAUUCCUUUCGCUAGAGCAAUAUCGAAUAUUUGCUUCUGAGGAGUAUGGUGCCUACUAUAUUAUUGAUGCAUUCUCCUUAUAGUCUUCUUCUAUCCAAGAACUUCGUACUUCAGUGGUUAAAGAAGUAUGUAUAAUGUAUUCGUAGCUUUUGUAGUUAACAAUAUUAUGAUAUUCCUGCAAUUAUAAACAUAAAUUGCAACGAUUUUAUAAUAUAAAACACGAAAAAUUCAUAAAAAUAAAAGUUGUAGUUAUGGAAUAUUUUUAAUGAUAGAAAUAAAUAUUCUAUGAAAUAAAAUAUGUUUAACGAUCGAAAAUA